AGUUCACUCUAGGCUGCCAUAACAAAGUACCGUCAACUGAGUGGCUUAAACAACAGAAAUGUAUUGUCUCACAAUUCUGGAGGCUAGAAGUCUGAGAUCAAGGUGUUGGCAGAGUUGACUCCUGCUGA